rnacentral:rRNA from 1 species
CCUACGGGAGGCUGCAGUGGGGAAUAUUGCACAAUGGGGGAAACCCUGAUGCAGCAACGCCGCGUGAGCGCUGAAGGCCUUCGGGUCGUAAAGCUCUGUCCUAAGGGAAGAAUACUGACGGUACCUUCGGAGGAAGCCCCGGCUAACUACGUGCCAGCAGCCGCGGUAAUACGUAGGGGGCUAGCGUUAUCCGGAAUUACUGGGCGUAAAGGAUGCGUAGGCGGCCCUUCAAGUCAGAGUUGAAAGGCUACGGCUCAACCGUAGUAAGCCUUUGAAACUGUAGGGCUUGAGUGCAGGAGAAGAGUGUGGAAUUCCUAUUGAAGGGUUGAAAUGCGUAGAUAUUGGGAAGAACACUAGUUGCGAAGGCGGCACUCUGGACUGUAACUGACGCUGAGGCACGAAAGCGUGGGGAGCGAACAGGAUUAGAUACCCUAGUAGUC